UGGGGAAUAUUGGACAAUGGGCGCAAGCCUGAUCCAGCCAUGCCGCGUGAGUGAUGAAGGCCCUAGGGUUGUAAAGCUCUUUCACCGGUGAAGAUAAUGACGGUAACCGGAGAAGAAGCCCCGGCUAACUUCGUGCCAGCAGCCGCGGUAAUACGAAGGGGGCUAGCGUUGUUCGGAUUUACUGGGCGUAAAGCGCACGUAGGCGGACUUUUAAGUCAGGGGUGAAAUCCCGGGGCUCAACCCCGGAACUGCCUUUGAUACUGGAAGUCUUGAGUAUGGUAGAGGUGAUUGGAAUUCCGAGUGUAGAGGUGAAAUUCGUAGAUAUUCGGAGGAACACCAGUGGCGAAGGCGGCUCACUGGACCAUUACUGACGCUGAGGUGCGAAAGCGUGGGGAGCAAACAGG
rnacentral:rRNA from 1 species